GAUGAACGCUGGCUACAGGCUUAACACAUGCAAGUCGAGGGGAAACGACGGGGAAGCUUGCUUCCCCGGGCGUCGACCGGCGCACGGGUGAGUAACGCGUAUCCAACCUGCCUCUGACUGAGGGAUAACCCGUCGAAAGUCGGCCUAAUACCUCAUGGCAUCGUCUGCGGGCAUCCAACGACGAUUAAAGAUUUCAUCGGUCAGGGAUGGGGAUGCGUCUGAUUAGCUUGUUGGCGGGGUAACGGCCCACCAAGGCGACGAUCAGUAGGGGUUCUGAGAGGAAGGUCCCCCACAUUGGAACUGAGACACGGUCCAAACUCCUACGGGAGGCAGCAGUGAGGAAUAUUGGUCAAUGGGCGAGAGCCUGAACCAGCCAAGUAGCGUGCAGGAUGACGGCCCUAUGGGUUGUAAACUGCUUUUAUGCGGGGAUAAAGUGAGGGAUCGUGUCCUUU
rnacentral:rRNA from 1 species